CCAUUUAGCAAUUUUAUAAUGGAAGUUGUACAUGUUUAGUUCAGGAAGAAGAUGGAGAGGAGAUUUUAAUGCCAUCUACUACUACAGCACAGCCAGUCACAAGGAUAUAAAAUAGUAGAAGUUGAAAAAUUAGGGGAAAUUAAUACUAGUGGGGCGGGGCCCGACCUACUAAAGUAAAUGUUAUUUCCGAGUUGUGGUCUAUAGCCUGCGAAGAAGGAAAGCUGCAUAAUUGAAUGUCGAUGGCGGUGGCGUCGGCGGCAAGCCUGCUCACAGCUGUCCGAUUGGAGAGUUGGAAGUCCAACGGUGGUGUUCCUGCUCGUCCUCGUCUCUCACUCGCUAAGCCCACUUGGAUCAUCAGAACUGAGUCUAAUGUUCGGCGAGAGAGAGUGAAGAAGCCUAAUCCACCAUGUGUUGUCUGCCAGGGAAGCGGAAGAGUUGAUUGCCAAUAUUGUUAUGGAAGAGGAAGGACAAAUCAUGUUCAUCUAGAGAUGCUUCCCAAAGGAGAAUGGCCAAAAUGGUGCAGGACUUGUGGUGGCAGUGGCCUCAGCUACUGCUCCCGAUGCCUUGGAACUGGGGAAUACAGGUAUAUAAUGGGCUUCCAUUUCAUGAAGAGAGAUGAUGAUCACACCCAAGAUAACAAGUAUCAGAUUCAAGGUGACCAUGGUUCACAGAGUGCAGCAGACCGACUGCUUCAUCAUGAGCAGAACAAUUCAGAUGAUGAGAUAGAAAGAGCUGGUGGAAACAUGGAUAUAACAGCAUGAUGAGACUUCCAUACUGAAUUUCUCUUACUGAAGGAGACUCCAUGUUUUGUAACCCAAGAGGUGAUUAAACCUAAACGUGCGUCUGAAAUUCUACUUAGAUGGGAUGGGAACCAUAAAUUCCAAAAGGUGCAAGUUCUGUAUAUUCAUAUUGAGCACAAGUGUUACAGGCUUAAAGAAUUUGGGAUAAAACAUUGCUAGUAUCAUAGAUGUUAAACAAGUUGAUACUCCUUGCAGAUUUUGAUGCAAUGAGAUUGCGGCCUCUAGGCAGUAAACCUGGUGUGUAGGUUUUGGUUUGGAGCUGGACAGCAGGAAGCAAUGGGAAGUCUUGCAAAGUUAAAGACCAAAGUGAGGCUAAAAUGAAAUGAGCCACAUGAUUAGGCCGGUUGGAGGAAAGAAUUAGUGACGGACUACUACGAGACAGUAGCUUUUAGUACAAAUGAAGACCAAACCUGGGUUUGGUUUCUGCAUCACCAUGUCAACGAGUGAGAAAGGGCAGGGAACGGGCGGAAAAUCCUGUAUAUCCGUAGGUCUCAGUCUGAGACUUGCAUAUGAAACGAAUCAAUCUCCGUUUGUUUCUUCAUCUUUUA